CAGCAGCCACGGUAAUACGUAGGUGGCAAGCGUUGUCCGGAAUUAUUGGGCGUAAAGGGCUCGCAGGCGGUUUGAUAAGUCUUGUGUGAAAUCUAUGGGCUCAACCCAUAGUCUGCACAGGAAACUGUCGGGCUUGAGAGUGGGAGAGGUGAGUGGAAUUUCCGGUGUAGCGGUGAAAUGCGUAGAGAUGUGGAGGAACACCAGUGGCGAAGGCGACUCUCUGGUCUGUAACUGACGCUGAGGAACGAAAGCGUGGGGAGCGAACAGGAUUAGAUACCCCAGUAGUCCCUGUCUCUUAUAU
rnacentral:rRNA from 1 species